rnacentral:misc_RNA from 1 species
GAUGAAGAACGUAGCGAAAUGCGAUAACUAAUGUGAAUUGCAGAAUUCAGUGAAUCAUCGAGUCUUUGAACGCACAUUGCGCCCCCUGGUAUUCCGGGGGGCAUGCCUGUCCGAGCGUCAUUGCUGCCCUCAAGCACGGCUUGUGUGUUGGGCUCCGUCCCCCCGGGGACGGGCCCGAAAGGCAGCGGCGGCACCGAGUCCGGUCCUCGAGCGUAUGGGGCUUUGUCACCCGCUCUGUAGGCCCGGCCGGCGCCAGCCGACAACCCAUCAUCCUUUUCAGGUUGACCUCGGAUCAGGUAGGAUACCCGCUGAACUUAAGCAUAUCAAUAAGCGGAGGA